AUCCAGCCGACGAGUAUCAAAUAGGACGAAACACGCAUCCUGGAU
rfam:Schistosoma haematobium scaffold388_4, whole genome shotgun sequence.